GGAAGGGUGGCAGAGUGGCCGAUUGCACCGGUCUUGAAAACCGGCAGGGCGCAAGCCCUCGUGGGUUCGAAUCCCACCCCUUCCGCCA
rnacentral:tRNA from 1 species